AACGAACGCUGGCGGCGUGCCUAACACAUGCAAGUCGAGCGAGAAAGGGGAGCAAUCCCUGAGUAAAGCGGCGAACGGGUGAGUAACACGUAGGUAACCUGCCCUUGAGAUCGGGAUAACUUGUCGAAAGACGGGCUAAUACCGAAUAAGACCACGAUUCCUUCGGGUGUUGAGGUCAAAGAUGGCCACUUCAUGAAAGCUAUCACUUAAGGAUGGGCCUGCGUACCAUUAGCUAGNGGUAGGGUAAUGGCCUACCAAGGCUACGAUGGUUAGCUGAUCUGAGAGGAUGAUCAGCCACACUGGAACUGAAACACGGUCCAGACUCCUACGGGAGGCAGCAGUGGGGAAUAUUGCGCAAUGGGGAAACCCUGACGCAGCAACGCCGCGUGAGCGAUGAAGGCC
rnacentral:rRNA from 1 species